rnacentral:lncRNA from 1 species
GGACCAACUGCAGGGUCUCCGGUUAAUUCAACUUUUCACCUGUUACAUUGAUGCAUCAUUUAUUUUGUUUUCGAAAUUAAAACAUGGCAUACUUUCGAGUUUUAAAGAAAAAUUGAUGAUUCGAGAUUUAUGAAAAGUAUUAUGUUAUUAUAUUAUUUUCUGGGAAAAGUAUACAGGUUUUACAGUGAGGGGUUAUAAUUAUUUUUGGCGAAAUGUUUUUGAAAAGAUUUGUUUUACUGACCCACUCAAUUUUGUUUUUCGCCCCUCCAGGUUCUUGAUAGCAGAGUUUUGGUGGCCACGAGGAAUCCAACGGUAUUCUGACAGAAUUCACAAAAAGUAGGACUCAUCCUCGAGGGUUUCCAUUUUAAUAAUUGUAUUUUAAAAGCUUCCGAACUGUGUAAAUGGUUACGUCACUCUCAUGUGACGGCCAGCAUGCCCUCCUUCGAGAUGGGGUGUGUCAGUUGGUAUCAGAGCCUAGGUUGCAAUCCUGGACAUCUUGAGAAUUUCCUAUUGAAUUCUGUCAGAACUAUACCGCCUCGUAGCAAGCCACGUAGUUCAGAUGAACCUAGUCUCCCUGAUAUAGCAGUGUAGGGGAAACUAUUACUAUGGUGAUUCAGUCUAUUACCUAAAUUAACCAUUAGAGACUUAUUAUAAGUUGAAUUUGAAUCACUUAAUGGAAAUGAUGAACCUGAGGGAGCGGAGUGACGGUUUAACCAAUUGGAAAAGAUGUUUUAGAUUAUGCAAGUCAAAGGAAUCUUCCUUCUGACAGGUGGGUCGAGACGACUACCUGGUUUUGAGUUAUGAACUUGUAUCCUGGUGGAAACAGGAGUAUUAUUUGUUGUCACCGGAGGAAACAACUGAUUGAGAAUUGUUUAAGGACUUGUUAAAGAAAAGAAUUAUUCCUCCGGCAUAUUAUGAUGGUAGUAAGCAAGAGUUUGCAAAUGUGAAUCAAGGUGAUUUGAAUAAAGGAAAGGUACCUUUGUGCAGUAGGUACAAUAUUUGACACUUUGGAAAGUGUGGGAAUCAGUGAAUGUGUUCAUGUGGACAGAUGGGACAUAGAGUUAUGAAUUGUCCCUAGAAUCAGUUGUACCCAACAGUUUUCCAUGACACCAUAGUAUCGAUUCAGCAGGUUUACAGACUUAGUAGUUUGGUCGGAUUGACCGUGGGUACAGAGAUAUUUGAUGAGUUAAAUGUUCAGCUGUGCAGGUCAGCUGAUAUAAUCCUUAUUAUUGAAGAUGUACCAAAGAAAGUAGUGGAUGAACACGAUCGAGGCAUGUAUAUGUAUUUUCUAAGAGAGGCAAGAUGGUAAUAUUGUAUCCUUGGGAAUUGUUGCUUACUUAUCGAGACAACAGUGAGUUAUCUGUAUUGCGGGCUGCAGACCGUAAUAUUUAUAACUUAUUUGUUGGAUUCGUUAAGCAAGUAAACAGGUAAGUUGCCCUACCUUGGUUUGGUGUUCAGUGAUGGUGGAAGAAGUAGUUAUGCCAGUGAAUCUUAUCGUAUUAGGCAUUGUGGAUUUCGAUGUGAUUUUAAGCACAGAUUGGUUAGGUUAUAAUCUUGCCAAUAUGGAUUAUCAGAGGUUACUUUUAUGGGUAUGCAAAGUGGAUUGAGUUAGGCCAUUAUUGUGCUUUGAGAACAAGAUAUAAAUAUCGAAAGACUGCCCAGGGAUAUUUAGCUCAAGUGGUGCUAAAUGAUGUUGCUUCUAGUAUUUUGGGAAAUGUAAAGGUGGUUAGACAUUUUCUUGAUGUUUUCUCUGAGGAAUUACCUGGAUUGCCGUCGGGCGGAGAUGUAGAGUUCAAUGUUGAAUUGUCUCCAGGUACAAAUUUUAUGUUAGAGAUUGAUUCAUGAGGAGUUAAGGGAAUUGGAAAUUCGGUUACAUGAAUUAGUUGAUAAAGGUUUCAUUCAAAGUACAUCACGUAGAGGGAGCACCAGCUUAUUGUCGAGGAAGGAAAUGGACAUUAAGGCUAUACAUUGAAUAUAGGCAAUUGAAUCGGGUAAUGAUCAAGAACCGUUAUCCAUUGUUGCGUAUUGAUGAUUUAUUGAUCAACUUAGAGGUCUGCGUAUUUCCUAAGAUUGACAUAAGGUCUGGUUGUUACUGAUUGAAGAGUUAAUGAUAACGUUCCUAAGAUUGUGUUCAGGACUCGUUACGGUCAUUAUGAGUUUUAGUGAUGUUAUUCGGAUUGACGGAUUCUCCUGCUGUUUUAUGAGUUUGAUGGAUGAAGUAUUCCAGGAAUGCCUUAACAAGUUGUUAUUAUUUUCAUUGACGAUAUUCUGGUAUACUCUGAGCCUAGAGCAGAGCAGGUUAGGCAUGUUAAAUUGGUGUUGCAAGAUUGAGAGAACGUCGAUGGUAUGCUAAGUUUAACAAAUGUCAAGGUUGAAUGGAUUAAGUAACAUUUCUGAGAUAAGUAUAUUGCUAAAGGUAUUCAAGUGAAUUCUUAAAAGGUAGCAGAAAUUGAGAAUUUAGAAUAACCAGGAACCGUGAUUGAGAUUGGAAGUUUCGUAGUUCGGCAGACUAUUACGGACGGUUUGUGAAAGAUUUUCUAGUCCUUACUUUGCCAUUGUCGAGAUUGACGAGAACAUAAGUUAAGUUUGAAUGGGAUGAUAAUUGCGAGCAAGGGUUUCAACAGUUGAAGUAUUUCCUCACUCGUACGCGUAUUCUAGCGCUCACUGGAGAUAGCGGUAAUUACGAGAUCCUUAGUGAUGCUUCUUUGAUUGGUUUUGGAUGAGUGUUAAUGUAGUAAGGUAGAGAGAUUGCCUAUGCUUCUCGGCAAUCGAAGCUUCAUGAAAAUGAAUUACUCUACUCGUAAUUUGGACUUUGCAACUAUUAUCCUUACUUUGAAAUUUUUGGAGAUAUUAUCGUUGUGGUGAGAAAUACAAAAUUGUUAUGGAUUUUAAGAGUCUCUAAUAUCUGUUUACUCGAAGGAUCUUAAUCUUAGGCAACGAAGGUGGUUAGAUCUGCUUAGUGAUUAUGAUUGCACGACAAGAUGAUCAUACAAAUGUGUGGUGGCCAAUGUUUUUAGUAGGAAGACCCUAGUGAGAAUUAAUGUUUGGUACAGUUGUCAUGUUCAUCUUCUUGUGGAUUUGAGAUCUAUUGGAGUAAAGUUGGGAAUGGAAGAUCGAAAAAAGAACUUGCUAAUUUUCAAGUUGACCUAAUUGGUAGAUCGUACUCGAGACUCAAGCAUUUGAUGAAGAAAUUCAAGUAUUUAUUUUAAAGCAAGGAAUAGCGAGGAAAAGAAAGACCUCAGAGUCAGAGAAUCAGAUGGCAAGCUGAUGCAAGAGAACAAGGUAUUUGUACCUAAUGUUAUGGAGUUAAGGAAGUAAUUUUGGAAUUAGCGUACGGUUCAGUUUAUGCAAUGCAUCCUGGGGGUACUGAUAUGUAUUAUACCAUUCGAUCAUAUUACUAUUGAUCAAGUAUGAAAAGAGAAACUUUGGUAUAUAUUAAUAGUGUAUCAUCGGAUAGCAGGUUAAAUCAGAAAGAAAUAAGUCUUUUGGAUUGAUGUAGUCACUUCCCAUUCCACUGUGGAAAUGAGAAAAUAUUAAUAUAGAUUGUGUGUGCAAGUUCCUCGUUCACGAAACGGUUAUAAUGAAAUUUGAGGUGAUAAUUGAUUUGUUUACUAAAGCAGAGCAGUAUUCUUCAAUGAAAGAGCAAUCACCUUUCCAGAAGUGCAACAGUUAUUUAUUUGUCUUAUGGAAAAGAGAUUUGGUCUUACGGAUCUGUUGAACUUCUUGGGUAUGUUGGUCCUGUCAGCUUGUUCCCGAGAGCAACGCCAUAAGGCCGUGGAAAGCUGUGUCUUGUGUUUCAAAACUGUUAGAAUUGUGAACGGAUGGUAUUUUGGGGAGCAAAAAGGUUUAACCACAAAAAGUCAAUUUUAAGGCCCUGAGUUAGUAGAGGAGACUACUCAAAAUAUUCAAGUGAUUAAGUUUAACCUGAAAGCAGCCCAGGAUCGACAGAAGAGUUUAGCUGAUCGACAUGCCACUGAUCGAGUGUAUGAUGUGGGGUAAUUUGGUGUUCUUGAAAUUGUCACCUUGGAGAGGUGUGGUAUGAUUUUGGGAAAAGAGGAAAGCUAAGUCCGAGAUACAUUGGACCCUAUGAGAUCACUGAAAGAAUUGGUGAAGUUGCCUACCGGUUGGAGUUGCCUCCGGAGUUAUCUAAGGUCCAUAAUGUAUUUCACGUCUCUAUGCUUCGACAUUAUAUUUAUGAUCCUUCGCAUGUGAUUCCUCCUCAACCGUUGGAGAUCAAUUCGGAUUUGACGUAUGAUGAGGAACCAGUGACUAUCUUGGAUUGGAAGGAUAAGGUUCUAAGGAACAAAACGGUGAGUUGGGUGAAGGUGUUGUGGAUGAACCAUUCUGUAAAAGAAGCUAUCUGGGAGACAGAAGAUCGAAUGAGAGAGAUGUACCAAGGUUGUUCUAUGGGUAUUGAGUGGUUUACUUGGUUAUGGGAAUUUCGGGGACGAAAUUCUAUAAGGAGGGAAGAUUGUCACAACCCGUCCCGAAGGUACAUUUGACGGGAAUGUGAAUUGACGGGUUUGCCCUUAGUGGGUGCUAAGGUAUGUGUGUGACACAUUAUGGAUUAUGCAUAUUUUCCUAAAGUUUGGAAAGUUGUAUAUGGAUUAAAAAAUUUGGGUUUUUCAUUUUUGUAUGGUUAGGAUGAAAUGGAUGGUGGAGAUUGAGUGGACCACCCACACCUAAAACUCCCUAUUCUCUCUCUUCCUCUUCCCGUAUCACUCUCUCUCUCCUCCCUCACGAUUCUUCCCCUCUCUCACCCACAUCGUACGGACGGCAACCAAAACCACCCAAAACUUCGUGGAUCGAAGCAAAUAAGGUAAGAAUCUUCACCCUCUUGAAGUUCUGAGUUGAUUGGUGUUAGUUUUAGGACGUAGAACCUUCGAAAAACCCCUGAACCCGAACCUCCAUUUUUGAGUUACUGUUCAUGCGCACGUAAAAUGUCGUGUUUUAGGGAAUUCUAAGCUUGUAGUGAGCUUAGGGAAGUCCUAAGGAGGCUCGGAGUACUUCGUUUGAAGGAUUUGGACGUCGGGAUCACGUGGUUCCAUUUUGGCCGAAUUUCUUGGGAAUUUUCCGGUGAGAUUUCUUGAUUUUUUAGAGCCUUAAAGUAGUGUAUUGUGAUUCUACAUGUUUGGGGCUUCAAUUUGAUAUAUUAUACGAAGAAAAAUGGGUGAAAAACGAAGGAGAAUAGGGGCAUUUGAAGUUUGGCCGGAAACCGGCCACCGGGAAAAAACCAGUCCGGCGACUGGCUGAGGAAGAUGAUGCGCGUGGGGGCGCGUGUCCCCGUGCUUGCCCUGGCGCGUGGGGGCGCGUGCCACAUCAAAAAAUUAUUUUAAAAAUAUGUCAACGUCCGUGACGUCGAGUAGAUCACUGUGGCAUAUUCAUAUACCCAAAUUGAGCACCGUAUGAGAAAGUUAUUAAGGAUUGUUGGUUAGGUGUUCGAUUAACGUUUUAUAGUUUUCGCAUUAGGUGAAAAUGUGAAUUGAUGAUCCGACCGUUGGAUCGUUACCAAACUUUGGUACGUUGUAAUACGUAAUAUUUGAGGAUUAUUGGAACUUACGGAUUGGGAAUCCGAGUUACGGAUCUUCCGGAAUUGGAGUUGUAAGUUCAUGAAAUAAAAUGUUAACCGUCACUUAGUUUUGGAAAUUGACGGAGAUUCGACCGUUGGAUGGUAAUGAAAUUUCAGGAUGUUGUCCUAGAGAUAUAUUGUGGGCCUCUGGAAGUUAUGGAUUUAAAAUCUGAGUUGCAGAUCUUUCGGAUCGAACUGCGUAGUGAUGUGUUUUAUAUAAGUUAUAUUCUAUCGAGAUGAUUUCUGAGGUUGGAUUUGAUUAUUGUUCUAGGCGGCGAUCGUCAUGACGCCUUGAUGUGUUGUGCUAGGGAGUUGUAGGGCGAACUCCAGGUGAGUGGGCAGUUUUGUUUUCGUAUUACCUAUAUACUAUUGAGUUUUCCCAGAAAUUGAAUUUAAAUGAAAGCAUGAUUUAAAAUGCCAUGGAUAGAAUUAUAUGAAAAGUAUGAUUUGGAAUGCCAUGCAUAGAAGUAUAUGAAAAGCAUGAAUUGAUAUAUGAUGCAUAUAUAUAUAUGUGAAUUGGUGCUGUGGACGCACAGGUAAGUAUCAGGUGAGUUUUAUAUUAUUCAUGUGCAUUGUUGAUGUGUAUAUUGUGGAUAGCUCAUAACCUGCAAUCAUGGUGUUAGUGCUUAUAUUAUUCACCACACCGCACGCUCGUCUUGGAUCCAAGUAGGUGGAUGUCGUACAGACCAAGUGAGGGUUCCGACAUGCUAGUCGUAUAGAUUACUAGAUGUGAUUCCGACUAGUGGGUGACCUUAGAUUAUGUGCACAGAUGAUUGAUGAGAGAAGCACUAGAGCGUAUUUAUUACACCAUCCAUGUCGUACAGACUACUUCAGGUAGUUCCGACUUAUCUGCAGCAGUGUAGUGCCGUACAGGUCAUCGAGGUGACUCCGGUUGGAUUGGAUGUUGAGCUAUGGAAUUAACCGUACAGGACCAACUGCAGGGUCUCCGGUUAAUUCAACUUUUCACCUGUUACAUUGAUGCAUCAUUUAUUUUGUUUUUUCGAAAUUAAAAACAUGGCAUACUUUCGAGUUUUAAAAGAAAAAUUGAUGAUUCGAGAUUUAUGAAAAGUAUUAUGUUAUUAUAUUAUUUUCUGGGAAAAGUAUACAGGUUUUACAGUGAGGGGUUAUAAUUAUUUUUGGCGAAAUGUUUUUGAAAAGAUUUGUUUUACUGACCCACUCAAUUUUGUUUUUCGCCCCUCCAGGUUCUUGAUAGCAGAGUUUUGGUGGCCACGAGGAAUCCAACGGUAUUCUGACAGAAUUCACAAAAGUAGGACUCAUCCUCGAGGGUUUCCAUUUUAAUAAUUGUAUUUUAAAAGCUUCCGAACUGUGUAAAUGGUUACGUCACUCUCAUGUGACGGCCAGCAUGCCCUCCUUCGAGAUGGGGUGUGUCA